rnacentral:lncRNA from 1 species
CAAACCUGUAAAUAUUCCUGGAUGAGAGGAAUGAUGACAGUCAAAAGAAGGGUCUCACUCUGUUGCCCAGGCUGGAGUGCAGUGGUACCAUCACAGUUCACUGCAGCCUCGACCUCCUGGACUCAAGAUCCUCCUUCCUCAGCCUAGCAAGUAGUUGGAACUACAGAUGCACGCCAUCACAUCUGGCUAAUUUUUUGUAAAGACUAGGUGUCACUAUGUUACUCUGGGCUUAAGUGAGCCUCCUGCUUUCAGCCUCCCAAAAUGUUUGGAUAACAGGUGUGAGCCACCACACUCAGCCUUGUUUUUUCUUAAUCUGAAAGAAUAAUCACAUUUGUUUGUCCAUAACACUGAUCGAUUCAGUAGUGAAGAGGGAAAUCUGAUAAUGCAAGACAGAAGCAAGUCUUAUUAUAGAGGGAUCUACUUAGGGACUGUGGGUGGGGAGGGAAAAGCUUCUUCAAGGAAAUAAUUUUUUCUUUUUUUAGACAAAGUUUCACUCUUUUGCCCAGGCUGGAUGCAGUGGUGCGACCUCAGCUCACUGCAACCUUCACCUACUGGGUUCAAGCGAUUCUCCCACCUCAGCCUCCCAAAAAGCGGGGAGUACAGACGUGUACCAUCACACCCAGCUAAUUUUUGUAUUUUUAAUAGAGACAGAGUUUAUCCAUGUUGGCCAGGCUGGUCUCGAACUCCUGGACUCAAGUGAUCCAGCCACCUCAGCCUCCCAAAGUGCUGGGAUUAUAGGUGUGAGCCACAGCACCUGGCCUCUGCCUCUUAUUUUAGAUUACUUAUGUCAACCACUUAACUCCAGUCUCUAUCAUAUCUCACACUUGGCUGAAUAGCCACCAUCAGCAUUAAUAGUUGUUACAGCUUUCUCAGCACCUGGACUCCUACUACCAAUGUUUCUACGAAUAAAAUGUCAGAAUGAAUCCAAGAACAAAUAGAUCUUAUGUUACCUCUGUCUCUAAAGGCUUUCUUGAUUGCUGUAUCCUCCAUGUGGUGGAUUGAUUGUUUCCCCUUUUUUGAUGCAGGAGCUUAUUUAAUUGUAACACCUGUAGCAUUGAAUUUCACUCAUUUGUCUGUUUCCUUUCUU